rnacentral:rRNA from 1 species
UACAGAGGUCUCAAGCGUUGUUCGGAAUCACUGGGCGUAAAGGGUGCGUAGGCGGUGCGGCAAGUCAGAUGUGAAAUCCCGGGGCUCAACCUCGGAACUGCAUCCGAUACUGCCGGACUUGAGUUCUGGAGAGGUAUGUGGAAUUCAUGGUGGAGCAGUGAAAUGCGUGGAUAUCAUGAGGAACGCUAAUGGCGUAGGCAGCAUACUGGACAGUUCACUGACGCUGAGGCACGAAGGCCAGGGGGAGCAAACGGGG